rnacentral:rRNA from 1 species
ACUCAAAUGAAUUGACGGGGACCCGCACAAGCGGUGGAUGAUGUGGAUUAAUUCGAUGCAACGCGAAAAACCUUACCUACCCUUGACAUGGCAGGAACCCUGUAGAGAUAUGGGGGUGCCCGAAAGGGAACCUGCACACAGGUGCUGCAUGGCUGUCGUCAGCUCGUGUCGUGAGAUGUUGGGUUAAGUCCCGCAACGAGCGCAACCCUUGUCCCUAGUUGCUACGCAAGGGCACUCUAGGGAGACUGCCGGUGACAAACCGGAGGAAGGUGGGGAUGACGUCAAGUCCUCAUGGCCCUUAUGGGUAGGGCUUCACACGUCAUACAAUGGCCGGUACAGAGGGUUGCCAAGUCGCGAGGCGGAGCCAAUCCCAGAAAGCCGGUCGUAGUCCGGAUUGCAGUCUGCAACUCGACUGCAUGAAGUCGGAAUCGCUAGUAAUCGCGGAUCAGCAUGUCGCGGUGAAUACGUUCCCGGGUCUUGUACACACCGCCCGU